rnacentral:sRNA from 1 species
UCUUUGUGCUGGUAUACCUCUGUUAGGCUGAAUUUGGUUGUGCGUAGAAUUACACUUGAUUUUUGUAAUACAAAGUUACUAGUUUUACUCAGAUUAGUAGAGCAUAGCUUUUUUCCAGUAUGGCUGGAAAUAUUUUUAAGUGUGCAUUUAGUUUUGAAAGAUGUUAUUUCUUAUACAUAUUUUAUCUUCUAGAUGUUGAUUUUAUUAGCUCCUUAAUGAUAGGUCUGUUAGCUUAUUUUUCCCGUUUUAAUUAACCAGGAUUGUACAUUUAUUCUGUCGAUUUGCAUCUCUAACUUGGUACCAUUCUCUUCAUCCCAGUCCAUAUUUUUGUAUCACUUCUGAGAAGUGUCCUGAUGAUUGUCAUUCACAAUGUAAGUUAUUAUUUAUAUUGACAGCUACUGUGUGAAGACAUUCACAGGACACAGAGAAUGGGUACGUAUGGUGCGACCAAAUCAAGAUGGCACUCUGAUAGCCAGCUGUUCCAAUGACCAGACUGUGCGUGUAUGGGUCGUAGCAACAAAGGAAUGCAAGGCUGAGCUCCGAGAGCAUGAACAUGUGGUAGAAUGCAUUUCCUGGGCUCCGGAAAGCUCAUAUUCCUCCAUCUCUGAAGCAACAGGAUCUGAGACUAAAAAAAGUGGUAAACCUGGGCCAUUCUUGCUGUCUGGAUCCAGAGACAAGACUAUUAAGAUGUGGGAUGUCAGUACUGGCAUGUGCCUUAUGACCCUCGUGGGUCAUGAUAACUGGGUACGUGGAGUUCUGUUCCAUUCUGGGGGGAAGUUUAUUUUGAGUUGUGCUGAUGACAAGACCCUACGUGUAUGGGAUUACAAGAACAAGCGAUGCAUGAAGACCCUCAAUGCGCAUGAACACUUUGUUACCUCCUUGGAUUUCCACAAGACGGCACCCUAUGUCGUCACUGGCAGCGUAGAUCAAACAGUAAAAGUGUGGGAGUGCCGUUGAUUGCGUCUCCUUCAGCCCCUCCUCCCUCUUUUCCUCUGGAUGCACUCUGAUGAUACCAUGGUUACCCCAUUGAGCUCUGUUUAAAUAAAUAUUGUCCUUUCAUGUAAAUUAUUCUGGAUGUAGAUUGAGCUUAUUAAAUGUUACACACAAAGUAUUCAUGCAUGGUGAAUCCAAAUUGUAUACUGUAAAUUUACAUACGUUGUCUAGAAGUACCAUAGGGUUAAACCUGGGCUGGCAUUGGCCACACCAGGCCUAAGAAGGCAGAAGUUGAAUCAAUUGAACUAGGGCACUAAACUGAAUAGUUGACAGUGUCAUUUUAUGUUGGAUUAUUAAUUCCUGUUUUUCUUUCUGCUGUCUGUUGGUGCCUGACUUGAUGGCCUCAUUUGGGGAAAAGUGGUGGUUAUUAGGGCUUUUUCUGAAAUGUGUAUCUAUGUAACAUCACUUAAGUGUGCUUAAUAAAUCUUCUUUAAGGAUUUUAGAUAAUAAGGCUACAAUUCAAAAUCUUCUGAACCAUCUAUGUAAUGAAUGGGGAUUAUACAUUGG